rnacentral:rRNA from 1 species
GACGAACGCUGGCGGCGUGCUUAACACAUGCAAGUCGAACGGAAAGGCCCUUCGGGGUACUCGAGUGGCGAACGGGUGAGUAACACGUGGGUGAUCUGCCCUGCACUUUGGGAUAAGCCUGGGAAACUGGGUCUAAUACCGAAUAGGACCACGCGCUUCAUGGUGUGUGGUGGAAAGCUUUUGCGGUGUGGGAUGGGCCCGCGGCCUAUCAGCUUGUUGGUGGGGUAAUGGCCUACCAAGGCGACGACGGGUAGCCGGCCUGAGAGGGUGACCGGCCACACUGGGACUGAGAUACGGCCCAGACUCCUACGGGAGGCAGCAGUGGGGAAUAUUGCACAAUGGGCGCAAGACUGAUGCAGCGACGCCGCGUGAGGGAUGACGGCCUUCGGGUUGUAAACCUCUUUCAAUAGGGACGAAGCGCAAGUGACGGUACCUAUAGAAGAAGCACCGGCCAACUACGUG